UGUAAUAUAUUACUUCGACUUGCUUCGAGCUGCUCUUAAGMAAUUAAGCGCACCCGUGAUGCCAUGAUUGACGAUUAGCACCCAACACUAGCUUUUUCCCGUUUUUUGAACUGUUAAUAUUUUAUGACGAAAAGAUUCAGUAUAUCAAUAACAGCAAAAUCUUGAAUUUACGACGUAUGAUGCCUUAACAGUUUCAUCUUUGUUUUAUUCUAUUUGUUUAUAGGAUGUUUUGAUAACGAUCGCAGGUGUCCAARGUACGCUAGGUACUGUCGAUCGAACCAAAAUGUUAAGAGGUCCUGCAAGAAGACAUGCAAACUUUGUUAAGAAAAUGUUUCUCAAACAAAGUGUCAUCACCACUAUGUGACGACGACAUUAUAAAGUAUUAGCUAGGAAUGAAUAAAGCAUGAUAAAACAA